UACGGAGGGUGCGAGCGUUGUCCGGAAUCACUGGGCGUAAAGGGCGCGUAGGCGGCGCGAGCAGUCGGUCGUGAAAGUCCGGAGCUCAACUCCGGAUCGGCGGUCGAUACUCUCUUGCUUGAGCACUGUAGAGGCAGGUGGAAUUCCGGGUGUAGCGGUGGAAUGCGUAGAGAUCCGGAAGAACACCCGUGGCGAAGGCGGCUCUCUGGGACGUGACUGACGCUGAGACGCGAAAGC
rnacentral:rRNA from 1 species